CUGGCUCAGGACGAACGCUGGCGGCGUGCUUAACACAUGCAAGUCGAACGGGGAUAUUAUUGGAAGGUUUCGGCCUGGAAGGUGAUAUUCGAGUGGCGGACGGGUGAGUAACGCGUGAGCAAUCUGUCCCAGACAGGGGGGUAACACUUGGAAACAGGUGCUAAUACCGCAUAAGACCACGGCAUCACAUGGUGCAGGGGUAAAAGGAGGAAUCCGGUUUGGGGUGAGCUCGCGUCCGAUUAGCCAGUUGGCGGGGUAACGGCCCACCAAAGCGACGAUCGGUAGCCGAUCUGAGAGGAUGACCGGCCACAUUGGAACUGAGAGACGGUCCAAACUCCUACGGGAGGCAGCAGUGGGGAAUAUUGGGCAAUGGGCGAAAGCCUGAACCCCCAGCAACGCCGCGUGAGUGAAGAAGGCUUUCGGGUUGUAAAGCUCUGUUAUAGGUGACGAAGGAAGUGACGGUAGCCUAUAAGGAAGCCCCGGCUAACUACGUGCCAGCCGCUGC
rnacentral:rRNA from 1 species